UACGUAGGGUGCAAGCGUUAAUCGGAAUUACUGGGCGUAAAGCGUGCGCAGGCGGUUUUGUAAGUCUGACGUGAAAUCCCCGGGCUCAACCUGGGAAUUGCGUUGGAGACUGCAAGGCUAGAAUCUGGCAGAGGGGGGUAGAAUUCCACGUGUAGCAGUGAAAUGCGUAGAGAUGUGGAGGAACACCGAUGGCGAAGGCAGCCCCCUGGGUCAAGAUUGACGCUCAUGCACGAAAGCGUGGGGAGCAACAGGA
rnacentral:rRNA from 1 species